AGUGAACGCUGGCGGUAGGCCUAACACAUGCAAGUCGAACGGCAGCACAGUAAGAUCUUGCUCUUACGGGUGGCGAGUGGCGGACGGGUGAGGCAUACAUCGGAAUCUACUUUUUCGUGGGGGAUAACGUAGGGAAACUUACGCUAAUACCGCAUACGACCUACGGGUGAAAGCAGGGGAUCUUCGGACCUUGCGCGAUUGAAUGAGCCGAUGUCGCAUUAGCUAGUUGGCGGGGUAAAGGCCCACCAAGGCGACGAUCCGUAGCUGGUCUGAGAGGAUGAUCAGCCACACUGGAACUGAGACACGGUCCAGACUCCUACGGGAGGCAGCAGUGGGGAAUAUUGGACAAUGGGCGCAAGCCUGAUCCAGCAAUACCGCGUGAGUGAAGAAGGCCUUCGGGUUGUAAAGCCCUUUUGUUGGGAAAGAAAAGCAGCAGGUUAAUACCCCGCUGUUCUGACGGUACCCAAAGAAUAAGCACCGGCUAACUUCGUG
rnacentral:rRNA from 1 species